rnacentral:rRNA from 1 species
ACGCCUAACACAUGCAAGUCGAACGAAGUAGCAAUACUUAGUGGCAGACGGGUGAGUAACAUGUAGGUAUCUGCCCUAUGGCCUGGAAUAACACGAGGAAACUUGUGCUAAUACCGGAUAAGUCUUCACGGAGAAAGCUUUAUGCACCAUUGGAUGAGCCUGCACUUGAUUAGUUUGUUGGUAGGGUAAUGGCCUACCAAGACUGUGAUCAAUAGCUGAUUUGAGAGGAUGAUCAGCCACAUUGGGACUGAGACACGGCCCAAACUCCUACGGGAGGCAGCAGUGGGGAAUCUUGCACAAUGGAGGAAACUCUGAUGCAGCGAUGCCGCGUGAGUGAAGAAGGCCCUUGGGUUGUAAAGCUCUUUCGUCGGGGAAGAAAAUGACUGUACCCGAAUAAGAAGGUCCGGCUAACUUCGUGCCAGCAGCCGCGGUAAUACGAAGGGACCUAGCGUAGUUCGGAAUUACUGGGCUUAAAGAGUUCGUAGGUGGUUGAAAUAGUUGGUGGUGAAAUCCCAGAGCUUAACUCUGGAACUGCCAUCAAAACUUUUCAGCUAGAGUUUGAUAGAGGAAAGCAGAAUUUCUAGUGUAGAGGUGAAAUUCGUAGAUAUUAGAAAGAAUACCAAUUGCGAAGGCAGCUUUCUGGAUCAUUACUGACACUGAGGAACGAAAGCAUGGGUAGCGAAGAGGAUUAGAUACCCUCGUAGUCCAUGCCGUAAACGAUGUGUGUUAGACGUUGGAAAUUUAUUUUCAGUGUCGCAGCGAAAGCGAUAAACACACCGCCUGGGGAGUAC